GUAGGCUGCAACUCGCCUACAUGAAGUCGGAAUCGCUAGUAAUCGCGGAUCAGCACGCCGCGGUGAAUACGUUCCCGGGCCUUGUACACACCGCCCGUCACACCACGAGAGUUUGUAACACCCGAAGUCGGUGAGGUAACCUAUUAGGAGCCAGCCGCCUAAGGUGGGAUAGAUGAUUGGGGUGAAGUCGUAACAAGGUAGCCGUAUCGGAAGGUGCGGCUGGAUCACCUCCUUU
rnacentral:rRNA from 2 species